rnacentral:rRNA from 1 species
AUUGAACGCUGGCGGCAGGCCUAACACAUGCAAGUCGAACGGUAACAGGGAUCAGCUUGCUGAUUCGCUGACGAGUGGCGGACGGGUGAGUAAUGUCUGGGAAACUGCCUGAUGGAGGGGGAUAACUACUGGAAACGGUAGCUAAUACCGCAUAACGUCGCAAGACCAAAGAGGGGGACCUUCGGGCCUCUUGCCAUCGGAUGUGCCCAGAUGGGAUUAGCUAGUAGGUGGGGUAACGGCUCACCUAGGCGACGAGCCCUAGCUGGUCUGAGAGGAUGACCAGCCACACUGGAACUGAGACACGGUCCAGACUCCUACGGGAGGCAGCAGUGGGGAAUAUUGCACAAUGGGCGCAAGCCUGAUGCAGCCAUGCCGCGUGUAUGAAGAAGGCCUUCGGGUUGUAAAGUACUUUCAGCGGGGAGGAAGGGAGUAAAGUUAAUACCUUUGCUCAUUGACGUUACCCGCAGAAGAAGCACCGGCUAACUCCGUG